AUUUUGAACUGCAUGGUUCGAAAUUGAAAGGCGGCUUCGGCUGUCACUUAUGGAUGGACCCGCGUCGCAUUAGCUAGUUGGUGAGGUAACGGCUCACCAAGGCAACGAUGCGUAGCCGACCUGAGAGGGUGAUCGGCCACACUGGGACUGAGACACGGCCCAGACUCCUACGGGAGGCAGCAGUAGGGAAUCUUCCGCAAUGGACGAAAGUCUGACGGAGCAACGCCGCGUGAGUGAUGAAGGCUUUCGGGUCGUAAAACUCUGUUGUUAGGGAAGAACAAGUGCUAGUUGAAUAAGCUGGCACCUUGACGGUACCUAACCAGAAAGCCACGGCUAACUACGUGCCAGCAGCCGCGGUAAUACGUAGGUGGCAAGCGUUAUCCGGAAUUAUUGGGCGUAAAGCGCGCGCAGGUGGUUUCUUAAGUCUGAUGUGAAAGCCCACGGCUCAACCGUGGAGGGUCAUUGGAAACUGGGAGACUUGAGUGCAGAAGAGGAAAGUGGAAUUCCAUGUGUAGCGGUGAAAUGCGUAGAGAUAUGGAGGAACACCAGUGGCGAAGGCGACUUUCUGGUCUGUAACUGACACUG
rnacentral:rRNA from 1 species